AAGUCGUAACAAGGUAACCGUAGGUGAACCUGCGGUUGGAUCAGUAACAAAAUGAUAAGAGUCCGGACCAUAAAACGUCCUGGGCUUUUAUAAACACCUGUGAACUGUAAUUGUAUCUGGUGAGUCUUUUAGGCUCACCGUCAAUAAUUUGAACUUUUAUAUCUUGAAUUAGUUUUUAAUUAAUAUUUAAUCUAAAACAACUUUUGACAACGGAGCUCUAGGCUCUCGC
rnacentral:misc_RNA from 1 species